GACGAACGCUGGCGGCGUGCCUAAUACAUGCAAGUCGAGCGAAUCAAAGGGAGCUUGCUCCCUGAGGUUAGCGGCGGACGGGUGAGUAACACGUGGGCAACCUGCCUAUAAGACUGGGAUAACUUCGGGAAACCGGAGCUAAUACCGGAUAAUUCCUAUCAACUCAUGUUGGUAAGCUGAAAGAUGGUUUACGCUAUCACUUAUAGAUGGGCCCGCGGCGCAUUAGCUAGUUGGUGAGGUAACGGCUCACCAAGGCGACGAUGCGUAGCCGACCUGGGAGGGUGAUCGGCCAGACGGGGACGGAGACACGGCCCAGACUCCUACGGGAGGCAGCAGUAGGGAAUCUUCCGCAAUGGACGAAAGUCUGACGGAGCAACGCCGCGUGAGUGAUGAAGGUUUUCGGAUCGUAAAACUCUGUUGUUAGGGAAGAACAAGUACUAGAGUAACUGCUAGUACCUUGACGGUACCUAACCAGAAAGCCACGGCUAACUACGUGCCAGCAGCCGCCGUAACAC
rnacentral:rRNA from 1 species